rnacentral:rRNA from 1 species
CGGCGAGUGAAGCGGCAACAGCUCAAAUUUGAAAUCUGGCCCUCGGGUCCGAGUUGUACUUUGCAGAGGAUGCUUCUGGCGAGGCGCUGCCCAAGUCCCCUGGAACGGGGCGCCGGAGAGGGUGAGAGCCCCGUACGGUCGGCGGCCGAGCCUGUGCGAAGCUCCUUCGACGAGUCGAGUAGUUUGGGAAUGCUGCUCUAAGCGGGAGGUAGACCCCUUCUAAAGCUAAAUACCGGCCAGAGACCGAUAGCGCACAAGUAGAGUGAUCGAAAGAUGAAAAGCACUUUGAAAAGAGGGUUAAACAGCACGUGAAAUUGUUGAAAGGGAAGCGCUUGCGACCAGACGUGCGCCGGGGUGCUCCGCGGGCGUUCUCGCCCGCGCACUCGCCCCGGCGCAGGCCAGCGUCGGUUCGGAUGGGGGGACAAAGGCGCCUGGAACGUGGCUCCCCCGGGAGUGUUAUAGCCAGGCGCGCCAUGCCCCCGCCCGGACCGAGGUUCGCGUUCUGCAAGGACGCUGGCGUAAUGGUCCCCAGCGGCCCGUCUUGAAACACGGACCAAGGAGUCGAGGUUUUGCGCGAGUGUCUGGGUGACAAACCCGCACGCGCAAUGAAAGUGAACGCUGGUGGGAGCUUCGGCGCACCACCGACCGAUCCUGAAGUUUACGGAUGGAUUUGAGUACGAGCGCAGGGCCUCGGACCCGAAAGAUGGUGAACUAUGCUUGGAUAGGGUGAAGCCAGAGGAAACUCUGGUGGAGGCUCGCAGCGGUUCUGACGUGCAAAUCGAUCGUCAAAUCUGAGCAUGGGGGCGAAAGACUAAUCGAACCGUCUAGUAGCUGGUUACUGCCGAAGUUUCCCUCAGGAUAGCAGUGUUGAUCUCAGUUUUAUGAGGUAAAGCGAAUGAUUAGGGACUCGGGGGCGCUCUUCAGCCUUCAUCCAUUCUCAAACUUUAAAUAUGUAAGAAGCCCUUGUUGCUUAGUUGAACGUGGGCCUUCGAAUGCACCAACACUAGUGGGCCAUUUUUGGUAAGCAGAACUGGCGAUGUGGGAUGAACCAUACGGGGGGUUAAGGUGCCAGAGUGGACGCUCAUCAGACACCACAAAAGGCGUUAGCACAUCUUGACAGCAGGACGGUGGCCAUGGAAGUCGGAAUCCGCUAAGGACUGUGUAACAACUCACCUGCCGAAUGUGCUAGCCCUGAAAAUGGAUGGCGCUCAAGCGUCCCACCCAUACCCCCCCCUCGGGGUAGACACGAUGCCCCGAGGAGUAGGCAGCCGCAGC